rnacentral:rRNA from 1 species
UUAAGCGACUAAGCGUACACGGUGGAUGCCCUGGCAGUCAGAGGCGAUGAAGGACGUGCUAAUCUGCGAAAAGCGUCGGUAAGGUGAUAUGAACCGUUAUAACCGGCGAUGUCCGAAUGGGGAAACCCAGUGCAAUUCGUUGCACUAUCGUUAACUGAAUACAUAGGUUAACGAGGCGAACCGGGGGAACUGAAACAUCUAAGUACCCCGAGGAAAAGAAAUCAACCGAGAUUCCCCCAGUAGCGGCGAGCGAACGGGGAGCAGCCCAGAGUCUGAAUCAGCUUGUGUGUUAGUGGAACGGUCUGGAAAGUCCGACGGUACAGGGUGAUAGUCCCGUACACCAAAAUGCACAGGCUGUGAACUCGAAGAGUAGGGCGGGACACGUGGUAUCCUGUCUGAAUAUGGGGGGACCAUCCUCCAAGGCUAAAUACUCCUGACUGACCGAUAGUGAACCAGUACCGUGAGGGAAAGGCGAAAAGAACCCCGGCGAGGGGAGUGAAAAAGAACCUGAAACCGUGUACGUACAAGCAGUGGGAGCACCUUCGGGUGUGACUGCGUACCUUUUGUAUAAUGGGUCAGCGACUUAUAUUCUGUAGCAAGGUUAACCGUAUAGGGGAGCCGCAGGGAAACCGAGUCUUAACUGGGCGUUAAGUUGCAGGGUAUAGACCCGAAACCCGGUGAUCUAGCCAUGGGCAGGUUGAAGGUUGGGUAACACUAACUGGAGGACCGAACCGACUAAUGUUGAAAAAUUAGCGGAUGACUUGUGGCUGGGGGUGAAAGGCCAAUCAAACCGGGAGAUAGCUGGUUCUCCCCGAAAGCUAUUUAGGUAGCGCCUCGUGAACUCAUCUUCGGGGGUAGAGCACUGUUUCGGCUAGGGGGUCAUCCCGACUUACCAACCCGAUGCAAACUACGAAUACCGAAGAAUGUUAUCACGGGAGACACACGGCGGGUGCUAACGUCCGUCGUGAAGAGGGAAACAACCCAGACCGCCAGCUAAGGUCCCAAAGUCAUGGUUAAGUGGGAAACGAUGUGGGAAGGCACAGACAGCCAGGAUGUUGGCUUAGAAGCAGCCAUCAUUUAAAGAAAGCGUAAUAGCUCACUGGUCGAGUCGGCCUGCGCGGAAGAUGUAACGGGGCUAAACCAUGCACCGAAGCUGCGGCAGCGACACGAUGUGUUGUUGGGUAGGGGAGCGUUCUGUAAGCCUGCGAAGGUGACCUGUGAGGGUUGCUGGAGGUAUCAGAAGUGCGAAUGCUGACAUAAGUAACGAUAAAGCGGGUGAAAAGCCCGCUCGCCGGAAGACCAAGGGUUCCUGUCCAACGUUAAUCGGGGCAGGGUGAGUCGACCCCUAAGGCGAGGCCGAAAGGCGUAGUCGAUGGGAAACAGGUUAAUAUUCCUGUACUUGGUGUUACUGCGAAGGGGGGACGGAGAAGGCUAUGUUAGCCGGGCGACGGUUGUCCCGGUUUAAGCAUGUAGGCUGGUUGUCCAGGCAAAUCCGGAUAAUCAAGGCUGAGGUGUGAUGACGAGGCACUACGGUGCUGAAGUAACAAAUGCCCUGCUUCCAGGAAAAGCCUCUAAGCAUCAGGUAACAUCAAAUCGUACCCCAAACCGACACAGGUGGUCAGGUAGAGAAUACCAAGGCGCUUGAGAGAACUCGGGUGAAGGAACUAGGCAAAAUGGUGCCGUAACUUCGGGAGAAGGCACGCUGGUGUGUAGGUGAAGCCCCUGCGGGUGGAGCUGAGACCAGUCGAAGAUACCAGCUGGCUGCAACUGUUUAUUAAAAACACAGCACUGUGCAAACACGAAAGUGGACGUAUACGGUGUGACGCCUGCCCGGUGCCGGAAGGUUAAUUGAUGGGGUUAUCCGUAAGGAGAAGCUCUUGAUCGAAGCCCCGGUAAACGGCGGCCGUAACUAUAACGGUCCUAAGGUAGCGAAAUUCCUUGUCGGGUAAGUUCCGACCUGCACGAAUGGCGUAAUGAUGGCCAGGCUGUCUCCACCCGAGACUCAGUGAAAUUGAACUCGCUGUGAAGAUGCAGUGUACCCGCGGCAAGACGGAAAGACCCCGUGAACCUUUACUAUAGCUUGACACUGAACAUUGAGCCUUGAUGUGUAGGAUAGGUGGGAGGCUUUGAAGCGUGGACGCCAGUCUGCGUGGAGCCAACCUUGAAAUACCACCCUUUAAUGUUUGAUGUUCUAACGUUGGCCCCUGACCGGGGUUGCGGACAGUGUCUGGUGGGUAGUUUGACUGGGGCGGUCUCCUCCCAAAGCGUAACGGAGGAGCACGAAGGUUAGCUAAUCCUGGUCGGACAUCAGGAGGUUAGUGCAAUGGCAUAAGCUAGCUUGACUGCGAGCGUGACGGCGCGAGCAGGUGCGAAAGCAGGUCAUAGUGAUCCGGUGGUUCUGAAUGGAAGGGCCAUCGCUCAACGGAUAAAAGGUACUCCGGGGAUAACAGGCUGAUACCGCCCAAGAGUUCAUAUCGACGGCGGUGUUUGGCACCUCGAUGUCGGCUCAUCACAUCCUGGGGCUGAAGUAGGUCCCAAGGGUAUGGCUGUUCGCCAUUUAAAGUGGUACGCGAGCUGGGUUUAGAACGUCGUGAGACAGUUCGGUCCCUAUCUGCCGUGGGCGCUGGAGAAUUGAGGGGGGCUGCUCCUAGUACGAGAGGACCGGAGUGGACGCAUCACUGGUGUUCGGGUUGUCAUGCCAAUGGCACUGCCCGGUAGCUAAAUGCGGAAGAGAUAAGUGCUGAAAGCAUCUAAGCACGAAACUUGCCCCGAGAUGAGUUCUCCCUGAGACUUUAAGUCUCCUGAAGGAACGUUGAAGACGACGACGUUGAUAGGCCGGGUGUGUAAGCGCAGCGAUGCGUUGAGCUAACCGGUACUAAUGAACCGUGAGGCUUAACCUU